ensembl:snoRNA small nucleolar RNA SNORA5
UGCAGUUUUGUCAAAUUCAGUGCUUCCUCCUUAGUGGAUGCCACUGGCCAAAAUGGCUGCUACACUAAAGAUGCAGCAAAUAUGCCCUACACGUCUCUACCAUGGUGACUGGGGAUGAAUAUGUCCUGCUUACAAAC